AUUGAACGCUGGCGGCAGGCUUAACACAUGCAAGUCGAGCGGGGUGAUGGUGCUUGCACUAUCACUUAGCGGCGGACGGGUGAGUAAUGCUUAGGAAUCUGCCUAUUAGUGGGGGACAACAUCUCGAAAGGGAUGCUAAUACCGCAUACGUCCUACGGGAGAAAGCAGGGGAUCACUUGUGACCUUGUGCUAAUAGAUGAGCCUAAGUCGGAUUAGCUAGUUGGUGGGGUAAAGGCCUACCAAGGCGACGAUCUGUAGCGGGUCUGAGAGGAUCAUCCGCCACACUGGGACUGAGACACUGCCCAGACUCCUACGGGAGGCAGCAGUGGGGAAUAUUGGACAAUGGGGGGAACCCUGAUCCAGCCAUGCCGCGUGUGUGAAGAAGGCCUUAUGGUUGUAAAGCACUUUAAGCGAGGAGGAGGCUUACCUAGUUAAUACCUGGGAUAAGUGGACGUUACUCGCAGAAUAAGCACCGGCUAACUCUGUGCCAGCCGCCGCGAUAAUAC
rnacentral:rRNA from 1 species